UACGGGGGGGGGCAAGCGUUGUUCGGAAUUACUGGGCGUAAAGGGCUCGUAGGCGGCCAACUAAGUCGGAUGUGAAAUCCCCCAGCUCAACCUGGGAACUGCAUCCGAUACUGGAUGGCUUGAAUCCGGGAGAGGGAUGCAGAAUUCCAGGUGUAGCGGUGAAAUGCGUAGAUAUCUGGAGGAAUACCGGUGGCGAAGGCGGCAUCCUGGACCGGCAUUGACGCUGAUGAGCGAAAGCUAGGGGAGCAAACGGG
rnacentral:rRNA from 1 species